rnacentral:rRNA from 1 species
CCUACGGGAGGCAGCAGUUGGGAAUAUUGCACAAUGGGGGAAACCCUGAUGCAGCGACGCCGCGUGAGUGAAGAAGUAAUUCGUUAUGUAAAGCUCUAUCAGCAGGGAAGAAAAUGACGGUACCUGAGUAAGAAGCCCCGGCUAACUACGUGCCAGCAGCCGCGGUAAUACGUAGGGGGCAAGCGUUAUCCGGAUUUACUGGAUGUAAAGGGAGCGUAGACGGCAGUGCAAGUCUGGAGUGAAAGGCGGGGGCUCAACCCCCGGACUGCUCUGGAAACUGUGCGGCUGGAGUGCGGGAUAGGUAAGUGGAAUUCCUAGUGUAGCGGUGAAAUGCGUAGAUAUUAGGAGGAACACCAGUGGCGAAGGCGGCUUACUGGACUGUAACUGACGUUGAGGCUCGAAAGCGUGGGGAGCAAACAGGAUUAGAUACCCUAGUAGUC